rnacentral:lncRNA from 1 species
CUGUUGGUACCAUGGACCGCGGACCGCGGCCCAUGGACCGAACCGGACCGGACAAGACGGCCCAGACGGACGGAUGGGCGGGCGGACGAGCGGACGGACGAGCGGACGGACGGGGCCGACCGUACGAACCCACGAGGCCCAAUGACAACAAGUGAAGUCUAUAAAUACCUAUCCUGGUCCAACUGGGAGGGGGGUUGAUAAUUCUGAGAGAGUGAACACUGGAGAGUUGAGGUUGUGGGCUUACACCGGCGAGCACACGCACCAACAGUGGUGAACCUGACGUGAAACGAAAUACAUGGCGGCCGGAGAGAAGAGGAUGACGAAGAGCGGUUACCAGGUAGGGGAGAGCUCCAAGCGACCCGAGCGGGAGCCGGAGGAGUAUCGGCCGGAGCGACGUCACUCCCGGGACCGGUACUCAGAGGAAGUAAGAGCCAACGAGGAGUGGGACGACGAGGAUAGACUGCGUAUGGAGAUCGAGGAGAUCAGGUACGGCUGGGAGUCACCCGAGAGGCGCCGGCACGAAGGGGCGGCAUCUCCACCGAGGGCCAGGAGAACGCGGUCCCGGUCGCGAUCCCGGGAGAGAAGGGAGAAGGAGCGCGAGAAGCUCCGACGAAGGGAGCGCGCGAAGGAGAAGGAUCGCACGG